CAAAAUCCCUGUGUCCUUGGGAGCAGCCAAGAUGUAAUCGGUCAGAGAAAUGGUUUCUUCCUGGAUCCACGUGAGUUAAACUGUUGUGGGACUGGAGACACUCGCGCCUGCAGAGUUGUGGUGACAAGCAAGCCCUCCUCUUUGCACCCUGUCUGAAGUCUGCAUAUUCCAUGAAUCCUUGAGGGAGCCUGAUUCUUAUAAGGCAGGGGUCACUGAAGGAACCACAACAGUGUCUCCCUUGGAGAAAAGGAAAGGAAAUCGCCACCGUUUGAGAACACCACACGAAUUCAUUCCCUUCAGAUACUGUCCGUGUGUGAGUUACGCAUGCCAACUGCCAGGUAAGAUACUUCCUGAAGAAAGAUCUUCUUCCUCGGGGGCCUCCAAAGCUGACGCCAGGUCUCUAGGGAAGAGAGACCGAAGAGUCACAAGACAGAAUUAACACAACACGUGAGGCAGUGUUCAGCUCUUCUUCUCUCAAAGAUCAAACUAGCCACAAUGGCGUUAGCACCAUCACCAUAUACACACUUGGGUACAGAGAAAUCUUGAGUAACCUAUGAAAUAGCCAUGUAGCUAAGAGUCUGUGCACCA
rnacentral:lncRNA from 1 species